GUGUCAGCCGCCGCGGUAAUACGAAGGGGUCCAAGCGUUGUUCGGAAUCACUGGGCGUAAAGCGCACGUAGGUGGCUUUUCAAGUCUGUUGUGAAAGCCCAGGGCCUAACCCUGGAAGUGCAGCAGAUACUGUUAAGCUUGAGUAUGGGAGAGGAUAGUGGAAUUUCUGGUGUAGUGGUGAAAUACGUAGAUAUCAGAAGGAACACCAGUGGCGAAGGCGGCUAUCUGGCCCAAUACUGACACUAAGGUGCGAAAGCGUGGGGAUCAAACAGGAUUAGAUACCCCUGUAGUCC
rnacentral:rRNA from 1 species